rnacentral:rRNA from 1 species
CCUACGGGAGGCAGCAGUGAGGAAUAGUGGUCAAUGGACGAGAGUCUGAACCAGCCAAGUAGCGUGAAGGAUGACUGCCCUAUGGGUUGUAAACUUCAUGUAUAGGGGAAUAAAAUGUGCCACGUGGGGGAUUUUGUAUGUACCAUAUGAAUAAGGAUCGGCUAACGCCGGGCCAGCAGCCGCGGUAAUACGGAGGAUCCGAUCGUUAUCCGGAUUUAUUGGGUUUAAAGGGAGCGUAGGUGGCUUGUUAAGUCAGUUUUGCAAGUUUGCGGCUCAACCGUAAAAUUGCAGUUGAAACUGGCAGUCUUGAGUACAGUAGCGGUGGGCGCACUUCGUGGUGUAGCGGUUACAUGCUUCGAUAUCAC